UGUUAAAGAUUAAGCCAUGCAUGUGUAAGUAUAAAGACUAAGUAAGAUGAAACUGCGGACGGCUCAUUACAACAGUUAUAGUUUCUUUGGUUAGUGCAAUAAGGAUAACUCUGUUAAUUGUAGAGCUAAUACUUGAGACAAUCCCUAAUCAAAUUGAUUAGGGCGAUCACACUUUGUGUGAAACAAACCAAUCCUUAACUGAAUAAGGGAAAGGGGACAAUUGUAGAAGGCCAGGAAUUUAACAAGGAACCAAUGAGAAUAUCUGACCUAUCAACUAGAUGGUAAGGUAGUGGCUUACCAUGGUGAUAACGGGUAACGAGAAAUAAGGGUUUGAAAUCGGAGAGGGAGCAUUCAAAAUGGCUACCACUUCUAAGGAAGGCAGCAGGCGCGAAAAUUACCCACUUCAAACGAUGAGAGGUAGUGACGACAAAUAACUAAAACCAGCACACAGUGUUGAGUUUUGGGGAUGAGCCAGAAGCAAAGACUCUGGCGAACGCGAUUGGAGGGCAAGUCUGGUGCCAGCAGCCGCGGUAAUUCCAGCUCCAAUAGUGUAUAUUAAAGUUGUUGUGAUUAAAAAGCUCGUAGUUGAAAGGAACGUAGAAGGACUCGAGGAAGCAAAGCAUUCGUGCAGCGCUACACUGGAGUCAUAACGCUAAAACACUCAACAUUGCUAUUCGUAGGAAUGGAGAGAUAUUUACUUUGACAAAAUAUGAGUGUUUAAAGCAAAGCAUAAGCUAAUGGAAUAUGAAGCAUGGGAUAAUACGGAGGGGAUUACUUGGCCAAAGUCGUUUCGAUGACAGAGGCAAGGAAUACCGAGAGAAGGAAUAAUAGAAAGAGAUGGGGUGAUUUAUACGGAAAUGGGAGAGGUGGAAAUCCAUGAUCAUUUCAGGAUAAACAAGAGCGAAAGCAUUUCACUUAAAUCUAUUCAUUAAUCAAGAACGAAAGUUAGGGGAUCGAAGACGAUUAGAUACCGUCGUAGUCCUAACUAUAAACGAUGUCAACGGAGGAUUGGAAAGAAAGACGACAAAUGCCUAUAGUGACUCGUCACUGGGCGUUCUGUCAACGGACUCAGUUCAGCACUCAGCGGGAAACCGAGAGUUAAUGGACUUCAGGGGGAGUAUCGUCGCAAGGCAGAAACUUAAAGGAAUUGACGGAAGGGCACACCAGGGGUGGAGCUUGCGGCUUAAUUUGACUCAACACGGGAAAACUUACCAAGACCAAACAUCCAGAGGAAUGACAGAUUAAGGGAACUUUCAUGAUAAGAUGAGGAGUGGUGCAUGGCCGUUCUUAGUUGGUGGAGUGAUUUGUCAGGUUAAUUCCGAUAACGAACGAGACUUUAAUCUCUAAUUGGAUGUGCUAGCAUUUGAUAGCACAGUUGUUUACAACCUCUUUACGAAGAGUCAACUUAGAGAGACAUAUCAACAAUUUUCCAGGACAACCCAAGGGUUGAAUGGAAGAAGGGAUAGGAAGGAAAGCAAUAACAGGUCUGUGAUGCCCUUAGACAUCUUGGGCUGCACGCGUGCUACAAUAGUAAUCAUAAAGAGUACAAUAGGCCAAGUGAUAGGUCAAUCCAUCCUCACGGAGGAAUGAAAACUAAACCGGCCAACCAACACCGAGAGGUAGAGGGAAACUCAAAAGGAUACUGUAACAGGGAUUAAUGAUUGAAAUUAUUCAUUAUGAACGAGGAAUCCCUUGUAAAAUUUCGUCACUAACGAAAGUUGAAUACGUCCCUGCCCUUUGUACACACCGCCCGUCGCUCCUACCGAUUGAAUGAAAAGGUGAAGGUUUAGGAGGAAGUAACUUGGUUACACCAAAUGGAUCUAAAUCUCUUCAUUUAGAGG
rnacentral:rRNA from 1 species